GAUGAACGCUGGCUACAGGCUUAACACAUGCAAGUCGAGGGGAAACGACGGGGAAGCUUGCUUCCCCGGGCGUCGACCGGCGCACGGGUGAGUAACGCGUAUCCAACCUGCCUCUGACUGAGGGAUAACCCGUCGAAAGUCGGCCUAAUACCUCAUGGCAUCGUCUGCGGGCAUCCAACGACGAUUAAAGAUUUCAUCGGUCAGGGAUGGGGAUGCGUCUGAUUAGCUUGUUGGCGGGGUAACGGCCCACCAAGGCUACGAUCAGUAGGGGUUCUGAGAGGAAGGUCCCCCACAUUGGAACUUGGACACGGACCAAAAUCCUACGGGAGGCAGCAGUGAGGAAUAUUGGUCAAUGGGCGGGAGCCUGAACCAGCCAAGUAGCGUGCAGGAUGACGGCCCUAUGGGUUGUAAACUGCUUUUAUGCGGGGAUAAAGUGAGGGACGUGUCCUUCAUUGCAGGUACCGCAUGAAUAAGGACCGGCUAAUUCCGUG
rnacentral:rRNA from 1 species